GACAGAGGGUGCAAACGUUGUUCGGAAUUACUGGGCGUAAAGCGCGUGUAGGCGGCCCGGUAAGUCCGCUGUGAAAGUCGGGGGCUCAACCCUCGAAUGCCGGUGGAUACUGUCGGGCUAGAGUGCGGAAGAGGCGAGUGGAAUUCCACGUGUAGCGGUGAAAUGCGUAGAGAUGUGGAGGAACACCAGUGGCGAAGGCGACUCUUUGGCCUGUAACUGACGCUGAGGCGCGAAAGCGUGGGGAGCAAACAGG
rnacentral:rRNA from 1 species